ACCCCGCUGAAAUUUAAGCAUAUCAAUAAGCGGAGGAAAAGAAACCAACAGGGAUUGCCUCAGUAACGGCGAGUGAAGCGGCAACAGCUCAAAUUUGAAAUCUGGCCCCAGGCCCGGAGUUGUAAUUUGCAGAGGAUGCUUUUGGUGCGGUGCCUUCCAAGUUCCCUAGAACGGGACGCCAGAGAGGGUGAGAGCCCCGUACAGUUGGACACCAUUUCCUUUCUAAAGCUCCUUCGACGAGUCGAGUAGUUUGGGAAUGCUGCUCAAAAUGGGAGGUAUAUUUCUUCUAAAGCUAAAUACCGGCCAGAGACCGAUAGCGCACAAGUAGAGUGAUCGAAAGAUGAAAAGCACUUUGAAAAGAGGGUUAAACAGCACGUGAAAUUGUUAAAAGGGAAGCGCUUGUGACCAGACUUGCGUACACGGUGAAUCACCCAGCUCUCGCGGCUGGGGCACUUCGCCGGCUCAGGCCAGCAUCAGCUCGCUGUCGGGGACAAAAGCUUCAGGAACGUAGCUCUCUCCGGGGAGUGUUAUAGCCUGUUGCACAAUACCCUUCGGCGGGCUGAGGUACGCGCUCCGCAAGGAUGCUGGCAUAAUGGUCAUCAGCGACCCGUCUUGAAACACGGAACCAAGGAGA
rnacentral:rRNA from 1 species